rnacentral:rRNA from 1 species
GAUAAACGCUGGCGGCGUGCAUUAGACAUGCAAGUCGAACGGACUUCUCGGGGCUUGCUCUGAGAAGUUAGUGGCGGACGGCUGAGUAACGCGUAGGUGACCUACCCCGAAGUGGGGAAUAACUGCCCGAAAGGGUGGCUAAUACCGCAUGUGAUCGUAUGUUCAUUCGUACGAUCAAAGCCGUAAGGCGCUUCGGGAGGGGCCUGCGUCCGAUUAGCUCGUUGGUGGGGUAAUGGCNCACCAAGGCGACGAUCGGUAGGUGGUCUGAGAGGACGAUCACCCAGACUGGGACUGAGACACGGCCCAGACUCCUACGGGAGGCAGCAGUCGGGAAUUUUGCUCAAUGGGCGCAAGCCUGAAGCAGCAACGCCGCGUGAGGGAUGAAGGCC